rnacentral:rRNA from 1 species
GAUGAACGCUGGCGGCGUGCCUAAUACAUGCAAGUCGAGCGAACAGACGAGGAGCUUGCUCCUCUGACGUUAGCGGCGGACGGGUGAGUAACACGUGGAUAACCUACCUAUAAGACUGGGAUAACUUCGGGAAACCGGAGCUAAUACCGGAUAAUAUAUUGAACCGCAUGGUUCAAUAGUGAAAGACGGUUUUGCUGUCACUUAUAGAUGGAUCCGCGCCGCAUUAGCUAGUUGGUAAGGUAACGGCUUACCAAGGCAACGAUGCGUAGCCGACCUGAGAGGGUGAUCGGCCACACUGGAACUGAGACACGGUCCAGACUCCUACGGGAGGCAGCAGUAGGGAAUCUUCCGCAAUGGGAAAGCUUGACGGAGCAACGCCGCGUGAGUGAUGAAGGUCUUCGGAUCGUAAAACUCUGUUAUUAGGGAAGAACAAAUGUGUAAGUAACUAUGCACGUCUUGACGGUACCUAAUCAGAAAGCCACGGCUAACUACGUG